AACGAACGCUGGCGGCAUGCCUAACACAUGCAAGUCGAACGAGACCUUCGGGUCUAGUGGCGAACGGGUGCGUAACGCGUGGGAACCUGCCCUUAGGUUCGGAAUAACUCCCCGAAAGGGGUGCUAAUACCGGAUAAUGUCUUCGGACCAAAGAUUUAUCGCCUUUGGAUGGGCCCGCGUUGGAUUAGCUAGUUGGUAGGGUAAAAGCCUACCAAGGCGACGAUCCAUAGCUGGUCUGAGAGGAUGAUCAGCCACACUGGGACUGAGACACGGCCCAGACUCCUACGGGAGGCAGCAGUGGGGAAUAUUGGACAAUGGGCGAAAGCCUGAUCCAGCAAUGCCGCGUGAGUGAUGAAGGCCUUAGGGUUGUAAAGCUCUUUUACCCGGGAUGAUAAUGACAGUACCGGGAGAAUAAGCUCCGGCUAACUCCGUG
rnacentral:rRNA from 1 species